AGAGUUUGAUUAUGGCUCAGGAUGAACGCUGGCGGCGUGCAUAACACAUUCAAGUCGAACGGUGAAGCGCCUUCGGGUGCGGAUCAGUGGCGGACGGGUGAGUAACGCGUGAGCAACCUGCCGUAUAGUGGGGGAUAACACAGGGAAACUUGUGCUAAUACCGCAUAACACAUGGGAAUCGCAUGUUUUCUAUGUCAAAGAUUUAUUGCUGUACGAUGGGCUCGCGUAUGAUUAGACAGUUGGCAGGGCAACGGCCUACCAAAUCUACGAUCAUUAGCCGAACUGAGAGGUUGAACGGCCACAUUGGAACUGAGAAACGGUCCAGACUCCUACGGGAGGCAGCAGUGGGGAAUAUUGGGCAAUGGGCGAAAGCCUGACCCAAGCGACGCCGCGUGAGGGAAGAAGGUCUUCGGAUUGUAAACCUCUUUCAGCAGGGAAGAAUCGAUGACGGUACCUGCAGAAGAAGUCACGGCUAACUACGUGCCAGCCGCAGC
rnacentral:rRNA from 1 species